GAUUAACGCGAAGAACCUUACCUGGGCUCGAAGUGUCGUGGACGGUCGGUGAAAGCCGAUUUCCCCGCAAGGGGCCGCGAUAGAGGUGCUGCAUGGCUGUCGUCAGCACGUGUCGUGAGAUGUUGGGUUAAGUCCCGCAACGAGCGCAACCCUCGCCCUUAGUUGCCAGCCCGCAAGGGCGCACUCUAGGGGGACUGCCACGGAUAACGUGGAGGAAGGUGGGGAUGACGUCAAGUCCUCAUGGCCUUUAUGUCCAGGGCUACACACGUGCUACAAUGGACGGUACAAUCCGCUGCCAACCCGCAAGGGGGAGCCAAUCGGAAAAAGCCGUCCUCAGUUCGGAUUGCAGUCUGCAACUCGACUGCAUGAAGCUGGAAUCGCUAGUAAUGGCGGAUCAGAAUGCCGCCGUGAAUACGUUCCCGGGCCUUGUACACACCGAAUCACUAGU
rnacentral:rRNA from 1 species